rfam:Myotis lucifugus cont2.70634, whole genome shotgun sequence.
AGUGGUUCUCGGGUGACACACCCCAAAUUCGGGCUCACUCCUCUCUAGUUCUGGGUGCGUCACCCCAAGAACCGCA